GACGAACGCUGGCGGCGUGCUUAACACAUGCAAGUGGAGCGACGAACCGGGGCUUGCCCCGGGGCAGAGCCGCGAACGGGUGAGUAACACGUGGGUAACCUGCCUCAAUGAUUGGGACAACCCGGGGAAACUCGGGCUAAUACCAAAUGUGUUCACUCCUUCUAAGGGGAGUGAGGAAAGGAAGCUUCGGCCUCCGCAUUGAGAUGGGCCCGCGGCCCAUUAGCUUGUGGUGAGGUAACGGCUCACCAAGGCUUCGAUGGUAGCUGGUCUGAGAGGACGAUCAGCCACACUGGGACUGAGACACGGCCCAGACUCCUACGGAGGCAGCAGUGGGAAUCUUGCACAAUGCGCGAAAGCGUGAUGCAGCAACGCCGCGUGGGGGAAGAC
rnacentral:rRNA from 1 species